AGGGAGGAGCAUCACCAACAGCACUCACCAUAUUCUGUAAAGCUAAAAGAAGUAUCAUUGUACAACAGGAAAAGUUGCCCGGAGGCACAGGGUGGAGGCAGAGCAAUAUAGUCUUCUGGACUACAGGAAUUGUAAGGACAAUAAUAGACCAAAACAGGAACUAAUCAGUCAAUCCAUUACUUGCAUUACUUGAGCAAGCCGGCUUACGUUAACAUGUCUGCACAUUAAAACAACGAAUUGAUGGGUAAUGUGUCAUUACAGCUGGAUGUUCUCAAAAAGCUGCUGAUCCAGAGUAAAAUAAAUGCCCCUGAUGCCUCUUUACUGGAAAGAUAUGGGAAUCAAGCAGUUUUAUGUAAUUAUUUGACGGCAGGAUCAUUUGACGGCAGGAUCUUUCUUAAAGGUGUAGCACCAUUGUAAUUACAUGAGCCGUCAUGGAGAAAUUAAUCAACCAACUAACUAGUUAAUG